AAGUGGUUAUAUUUGGCUUAAUGUCACCUGUUGUGGCAUUAAUGGUGGCUUAAUGUCACAUGUCAGGAAUCAUGAGAUGAAAUCAAAAUUCAUAUCUACAAGACUGAUCUGUGUUACCAGUUUAGUGCCCCUGGCACUAUAUUUCACAGAGGGUUCUACCCCUAAAACAACUGAAUUUUACAAGCCCAUGAACAUAGUUGCAGAGGGAGGGUUUUAUCCUGUGUAAACUCAGAUACACUGAUGGCUGGAAGUCACUCUGAGUAUGAUUGUCUCUCAGAGGUAACACAAAAAUUCUUAUGUUUUUCUGGUACAUCUGAGGAAUUUUAUCCUUGAUAGCUCUCCUACCACAACACCAAGGUCAUUCAGACUAUCUAAGCGUUAUAGUGUUAGCAGAAGACACAAAAAUAGAAGAACUGCCUAUAUUUAUCAAGACAAAUUGACAGAACCCCAUUGACACAAAGAUUUACACCAAGCUGCAGUUCUUAGAUUACCAUUCAUAUCUGGAUUUUUUACACUAGCUGACACUGGGCAGGUACAUGCAUUAUAGGACAACUUUUUCAAGCAUGAGCUGAAUAAAAAAGUAGGUUUCCUUCCCUUGCAUCUAUUCCUCACCUGAAACAGUUUCAAGGAAAACAAAAGACAUUUUAGUUGAUGCCAUAGUGGUGGUUUCAGAAAAUACUGGGAAUACAUUCAGUGUUCAGUAUGUACACAAUAAAAAGUCACAGAAUCCUAUGUGAGAGGAAGAUGAGGAAGAAGAACCAGACUGUAUUCAGCAGUUUGGGGUAAAAAGUUCCUUAGACAUUCAAUGUAAUUUUUACCAUAAGCAAUGCCAUAUUGUCAAGGGUCAGACAGGAACAUCUGUUAGGGACUUUAGGCAGAAUCUAUGGACAGCAUUCUCAGUACCCUGUCACAGCAUGCCUUGAAAGAUCCAUAUUCUUCCCUUGCAGGGGUGGAUGAUGGUUUGGGUUUGUGUUGUCACAAAGUUGUCACAGCAGGGGAGAAGGGGCCUAUAUGGAUGGCUUUUGUGAGAAGCUGUCACAAGCCUCCCCUGUCCAUUGAUGCCAAUCCCAGCUGGCACCAGGGUGCAGCCACUGCUGGCCAUGACUGAGGCCAUAGUUGAUGGUAGGUAGCUGUUCUGGGAUAACAAAUUUAAGAAGGGGGAAACAUUACUGUGUAGAAGCAGCUGGGAGAGCCAAGUGAGAAUAUGUGAAAGAAACAUCUCUGCAGAUCCCAAGGUCAGGGAAGAAGGAGGGGCAGGAGGUGCCCCAGAUGCCAGAGCUGAGAUUACCUUGCAGCCCAUGGUGCAGCUGUUGUGAAGUCCCUGAGCCCCUGGAGUCAUGGGAGAUUGAUGGGGAGCAGAAAGCCACCUGCAGCCCAUGGACACCUCACACUGGAGCAUGGGGAUGCCCAAAGGAGGCUGUAGAUCCUGGAAAAGCCCAUGCUGGAGCAGGCUCCUGGCAGGAGAGAGAAGAUGGAGAGAGGAGACCCAUGGAGAGAGGCCUCACUGGGGCAGGUUUCAUCCUGGGAUUUGUGACCCUGUGGGGUUCUAAACUGGGCAGGCUGUUCCUGAAGGACUGCACACUGUGGAAGGGACUCAUUGAAGCAGUUCUUGAAGAGCCAUAGCCCAUGGUUGGAGUUCAUGGAGAGCUCAUGUUGAAGUUGAUGGAGAGUAGUCCCCCAUGGGAGGCGCCCCAUGCUGGAGCAGAGGAACAGAGUCAGGGAGAAGGAGCAUCAGUGCAUGGUAAACUCACUGUAAACUCUUUUUCCAUCUCCCUGUGCAUUGAUCGGCAGGAUAAAAAGGAUUUGGGAGCUAUGGUAAGCCCAGGAAGAAGGGAGGGUUGUGGGAAGAUGUUUUAAGAUUUGGGUUUAUUUCUUAUUAUUUUAAUCAAGUUUUUUUUUGGCAACAAAUUCAGUUAAUUUCACUGAGUCUGGUUUGCCUGAUUGUAAUUGGUGACUGACCUCUCUCCUCUCUCCCUGCCCUGACCUCAACCCAUGACCCUUUUGUUGUAUUUUUCUCUCCCUGUCCAGUUGAGGAGGGCAUUGAGUGGCUUUGGUGAGCACUCGGUGUCCAGAUAGUAUCAAACCACCACAGCUAGUCAUCCCAAGCAGGUUUAGAGCAAGUUAAUGAGAUCAUUGAAGACACCAGGUUCUUGGAAAGGUGUGGUUCCUGCUGCACUGUAUUUCAUUGACUAAUCCCCAGCUGGGCUUCUUUGAACUUGGCAGGGUGCAGAGUUGGUUUUUCUAAUUUUGCCCAGUUAUCUCUUGGUAUGCAAGGGUCUGGAGCUAGCUUUUUUUUGUUUCUUGUAUUUGUUUGGGGGGGAGAGAGAGAGAGAGAGAGAGAAAGGAAAGAAAGAAAGGAAGAAAGAAAGGAAGACAAAAAGGAAGGAAGAAAGAAAGAAAGAACUGCUUUGAGGGAGACAGCAUGUUGCAAUACAAUUUUUCUUGUGGUUGCUUGAUAUGAGUCUGUACAUGCAUAAUAUAUACAUACUUAUCUAAUCAGACAGUGUGCUGCAGUCAUACAAUAUUAAAUCGCAAAUGGUAAGAGUGGAACAAAACAAAGACUGUUGCUUAACUAUACAUAUAAAUUAGAGUGUCCAAUGCACUUUUAAAGUCAUCAAAGUCAUCUCACACAAUUGCUGAUUUGAUAAAUUUUAUGGAUCAUGGUUUGGGCUUGAAUUUGGAAGGGAAAUUAUAAGUAAACAACUAUACAACUUAGUACAGGAUUCUGGAUGUGUUAGAAAUCUAUGGGGGUUUUGUCAGUGGAUUUAUUGAUCCUCUAAAUUCUUGUAUUUUUUCUGCUUCUAUGAGGUAACUGCUGUUUAGUAGAGGUAUACUUUCUCAUUUAGUAAAAGAAAAUUGAAGGAAAAUAUCAUAUUUCAUCUACAUCUGGGCUACUGGGAAAUGAGAGGCAGGGGGACACAUUUUAUGGCAUACAGAGAAAUGCAAGACACAGAGAAAAUUAAUUCUGGGAUCAUUUACAUGCUCCAUCUUUGCCUCACAUGUCAGUGAAUACUUGCUUUUUUCCAGCUGUUGUGGUAUCACUGACUGCCUUGAAGCUUCCAGCAGGAUUCCAAGACUGAAUAACUGAAAUUAAUGGCUAUGUCUUUUCAUAUUAUUUUAAGAUGGAUUGGCCAAAGCUAAUAGCCAGAUACUUUGUUUUUUCUGCAUUUGGUCAUAGUUUUCUAUAACUAUUCAUGUAAUAUUUUCUGUGGGAAAUCUACUCGUAGUUUACUGGACACUUUGACUCCAGAGGAUUCAAAAUUUAAAAUAUCUUAAUGCUGCAAAGAAGCUUCUCAGCCAGUAUAUGUUGUGCAUUGCUCUUUUGUUUUACUCCCGAUUUCAUACCAUCUCUCUUGUCAGAUCAAACUAGUCUGCAAAUAACUGGAUGGUAUCAAGAUUCAUUGCCUUUUGGGUUUGUAAGGGUUGGGCUGAAGGGCUGAAACCACAAUAUGCCAAACUGAAACCCUUCCCUAGGUCUUGAGCAAAUAGAAUUCCUAGUUACCUGAGUGGAUUUUUGUCUUAAUGAGAGUCACAUUAAGAUCUUGCGAUUUGGCUCUGCAUCAAUUCAGAGAAUUACAGGUAUCAUUAAUGAAGUUCCUGACUGAGUUUAAUUAAUUUAUGAUAUCCACUUGCCUCUGUCUCCCAAUGACUCAAAAGGGGAAAGAAUAACCUGCUCUCUCAAUACUAAAAUACUGCAAAUAUAAGUUCAUUUCCUGUAAGAGCUAUUUUCAAUUGUGAAAUGAUAGGCUGAGAAUUUAAAUGCACCAAUCAGAUCUAUUGAAAGACACCUACAAAAUAAAGGCUAAGGAACUAAACAGCAAUAAAAAAGUAAUAUUACUGAAGAAAUACUUAUAUUAAUUCCAAUAGUUCUUCCUCAAAUAGCAAACUCAAUAGCAAAAUUUUGCUUUCUUCUCUGUUCAUAAAUGCUUUUUAAAUGUUAUCUUUCUAGCAGAAAAUUGAAAAACGUGCUUGAAGAUUUCCUGUCUGUUACUUCUCAAAUGUAUUGACCAAGGAAGAUCCAGUGUUAUCUCUUCAAAAGAAAAGGUAAGAAAAUACCUUUAAAAGGUACUGUUUGAUUGGCUUCUUCCAUACUUUGUUGCUGUGGUGUACUUUUAAUGUAUUGUUUCUAAGCCUAAAAGUGUCUUAAAAUUGAAAAAAAAAAAAAAAAAAAAAAAAAGUGUGUAGACCACAAACAGAAUUCCACACUAAAAAAGGUGCCAAAAUAUGAUCUAGCCCAGGUUUCAGACAAGGCCCUGGGGCAAGCAUGUUGGGUAUGGUCCUGUUUUCUGGAACAGUCUAAUGUAUAGCCUCAUGUAGACCCAGGUUUUCUUUCCUUCCUAUUCACUCAUGCACCCUGAAAUUCUUUAGUAUUCUAUUAUCAUCACUCCUUUUGAAAGCUUCUUGUGGUUGAAUGUUUAAGUACACUAAGAGCUGAAUGGUAUUUAAAUGUUAUAAUGAUUCCUUAGAAUUAGAUUUACUCUUUUUAAUCAAGGAUGCAAAGCAGUGUUUCUAGCUCUCAGUGAAGAUUCUGUUGAGACAAAAUCAGUGCAAAACCAGCUGAAUCUGCUUUUACACAUCAGAAGAGUUCUUGAUUUCCUAAUGUCCUUCUCAGUGAAAAAUUAUUUUUAGGAAUGGUUACAUACCUACAUAUGUAGGUAUGUAUACAAACAUCUCCUAACAGAAUUUUCAGCUAAGAAGGAUGUCAGCCUAGCAGCAAUGCUGCUGUGCACCAUGAAGAGAAGUGAUCUUUGAGCAGACAAAGGCACUGAGAAUAUUGGCAAGGAGAACAGGAGAAACUUGGAACUUCUGAGAAACUUGGAGCUGCUUCCAGCCACUGCAUUUGCAAGACUCAGCACCUGUCACAGGGAAGCCAAGUAAAGCAGAAUUAUAGAACACAGAAUUCUUGUUUCUUUUAGAGCUCUGCUAUGGACUCAGUAAAGAUCUUUUUCCUAAAACAUUCAUUUAUCUAAAAUGAAUUUGUCAGUUUCAGAAACCAGUUUCCAGCUAGCUCCAGAUGAAAAAUAAUCUUGUUUUGAUUUAUGUAUUUAAUAUUUAAUACUGAAAAUGUAAAACUACAGCAGUUAUUUUAUAGUGACUGAGAUCAGAAAAUAUAAGGGUAAUUUAUUAUAUUUAUUAUUUUGCUUUAUAAAACAAUAAAUCAACAUUAUUGAAAAUUAAAUGUAUGUUAGACUGUGAGGAACUUUUGAUGUAUAAUAAUGUUUUACAUAUGACCUUUGAAGAUAUGGUGUUAAUCUGAAUUAUUCAUGGAAACCUUGGUUUUUCCUUUUUCCUUUGACUUAAUCAAAUCAAUAAAAGAGUUUAAUUUCUGAAACCUAUUAAUGCUCUGCAGGACAGCAACAGUAAUGAAUUUAUCUUCAGUGGGUUGUUUUGGGGUUUAUUUUGUAUAGGACUGUAAGCAAACAAAGGAAAAUGCAGUAAUCCUAGGAGCUUCUAUACUUUUCUUUAUAGUAGAACCUGAUCAUAGUUUAGAAUCUGAGACUAGUCUUGUAAUGGACUCUAUUGUUCAGAAACUAUAUCAGUUGUAAAAAUUGAUCUGGACAGAAACUGAAACAGGUGUCAGACCAAGAGCAAUUUUUAAAAUCAAUAAUUAAAACCUCGCAUUCAUUUUCAAACAACAAUAUCUAUUUACUAGAGUAGCUUGGCUGUUUCAAGUGUUACAUUGUUCUUUUUUCAUCCUUUUUAAUAUUUCUAAAAAUUUUAAAAAAUUAAGUUCUGUCUUAGUACAGAAAUGAAGUUAGUUACAAAACCAGCUCACCCCGUGCUGCCCCAGAUUUAGGUACAAUAUUGCAAAAAUAUUUCCAAAUCUUUCCUGUAGCAGUCAUGCUGUUCCAGUAUACUUGUCCUAUUGUUUUUUUUACCUUUACACCCUACAUUGAAGAUAGAUCAAAUUUGCAACUCCCUAAAAUGAAUCUUUAUAAGAUUCUGCAGAUACAAUCUUGCUGUAGAGCAUUCUAAUCUGCAUCAUGUGUUGCCCUGAAAAAAAAAAAAAAAGAAAAAUACAUAUCCAGGAUUACAACACAUGACAUUUUAAUCCUAUUUUAAUGUUCAAAAAAUGGUCUAUAUUUGGGUAUUCUGCACUUUUAAAAUUACUAAAAUAAUAAAAAUUGUCACAUGUAUUGUUACAGGCAGGAUUUCUUAAAAUAUGGGUCUGCUGUUAAAUUUCAAAAUUUACAUUAGGAUCUAUAUUUACCUAAAUAUGAGAGCCAUUACAGAUUUAAAUAGUUAUUAAGACAGAAUAUUUAGAUGCUUGAAUAAAGAUUUAAGAUGAUGUCCUGGGAAUGAAUGGGAGUCUGUCAUACAUUUAAACAGAUAUAAGAUUUUAGUCUUGGUCUUUAAGAAUCAGAAUUUAAAAGUACUUAGCACCUAAAAAUGCAGACAGAUAAUAAGAUUUUCUGUUGCUUAUAUCCAUAUAAUAUCAAGGGAAAAUGAAUUCCUAUGUGAAUUUGAAAAUCCCACCUCGCCUCUAUCUACAGUAUCAAAAAUCUCAAUAUUGUGAAUAUGUCUGCGCAGGUAAUUGCCUUAUUGAUAACAUGAUUAUGGAAAUCUGAGUAAUAACCACUUACUUACAAAAACCCAAAACUUGUUUCUGUAGAAUAUGAAAUAUGCCAUCAUAAGAAAGUUUUCUCUUUUUACCCAUGUCCCCUUCCUGGUAAGAAGAUGAGCAGAGGCUGCAUAGGCUCACUGAGAGAGAGGCCUGUGAGGGGUCUCUGUGCUGCACAGAAGGGAUGCUGCCACAGGAUGGAUAUAGUCCCAUCCAUCCUUGAUGGAAAACACUUGAGCUAUUUUUUUUUAUUAGAGCAUGGAUCUUGGCUAGGACAAAAUUUGAUACAGUCCUGUUGUGAUUUGAGCUUUUUCCUUAAGUCAGGUUUGGGCACAUUGUUUUGUUUCUGGGGUUUUAUGGAAAAAUGUUUUUUCCUGCCUGUCUUCAUGAGUGCUUUGUUUUUUCUUUCCUACAAAAGGCAGCAGCACCUAUCUGUGUGGGGCAAUUAAGACCCAAACCAUUCCUGGUACUCCCAGAAGUUAUGUACCACCGUCCAAAAGAGUUCCCAACCCUAAGAGCUGGUCUGCAGUUGUUGGGCUUAAAAACGGCAGUGAACUUAGUUUUGUGGCUUGGACUGAGCAAGGAACAGAUUCUUCAAAUGCUUCCCUAUGCCCUAACCAGCUUCAAUGGUAGAGAAAUUAUUCCCUAGAGGUGAUUUGUCAGCUGUCCUUCAUCACAUCAUCAGUUGCACUUGAAUGGAAGGUUCCUUUUGGCAGACUCCUUACUGCAAUCUCUUAGCUGAUAAUUAAAGUUGCAUUUCCAAAACGUUUCCACUAGUUGCAACAUGUUUUUUAGUUUUAAGUGACUUUUUUCAGCUUCCGAUUUUGGCAUGGCUGCUGGAAAACAUAAGGAAAUAGAUGAUUCUUCACCGUCUUCCCAGUAAUUUAGAAACAUUGUUGAACAAUAGAUCAAAUUGUAGAGACUACUGGCUGAAGGGUAAUAUAUUUAAUACGUUGAAUAUAUUCAAUAUAUGCUGCUUUCAAUGCAAGUUAGAAAAAUGAUAUAGCUUUUAGGCUAACCAUUAAAUUUGUUUUUAGAUAAAUCACGUUUGUAAUGUUUGAAUGAGUUUUUAUAGGAGAAGGUUGUGUGGAGACCUCAUAGUAUCUUCCUUCCUCAUUCUUCCAGUGUCUGAAGGGGGCCUACAGAGAAACUGGGAGACAGAAACCAGGAAACAGGGAGAGGAAAAGGAGGACACAAGGAAGGGGACCCUUCACUGGGAACUGUAGGGAUAGGACAAGCAGUAAUGGGUACAAAUUGAAAGAGGGGGAAAAUAUACUAGCCAUUAGGAAGAAAUUUUUUACCUUGAGAGCGGUGAGAUAGGAAUAGGUUUCCCAGAGACUUUGGGAAUGCCCCAUUCCUGGCAAUGUUCAAAGCCAGACUGGAUAAAGCCUUGAACAACCUGGUCUAGUGGGAGGUGUCCCUGCACAUGGCAGGGGGGUUGAGAAGUCCAUAUUUGAAGUCCAUUCCAACUCUUUAACAGUCUGUAAUUUCUGUGUGGG